CCAAUAGCGUAUAUUAAAGUUGCUGCAGUUAAAAAGCUCGUAGUUGAAUUUCGGGACUAAUGUGUCGGUCGUGCCUCGGUACGUACUGGCUUAUUGGUUUCUCCCUUCUGACGAACCAUGAUGUCAUUUAUUUGGUGUCGUGGGGAAUCAGGACUGUUACUUUGAAAAAAUUAGAGUGUUUAAAGCAGGCUCGCGCUUGAAUACAUUAGCAUGGAAUAAU
rnacentral:rRNA from 1 species